rnacentral:tRNA from 1 species
GGCAUAAAUCGGUAGAGCAUGAGACUCUUAAUCUCAGGGUCAUGGGUUUGAUCCCCAU